CACGUAGGGUGCGAGCGUUGUCCGGAAUUAUUGGGCGUAAAGAGCUCGUAGGCGGUUUGUCGCGUCGGCCGUGAAAACCUGCAGCUUAACUGUGGGCUUGCGGUCGAUACGGGCAUCACUGGAGUUCGGCAGGGGAGACUGGAAUUCCUGGUGUAGCGGUGAAAUGCGCAGAUAUCAGGAGGAACACCGGUGGCGAAGGCGGGUCUCUGGGCCGAUACUGACGCUGAGGAGCGAAAGCGUGGGGAGCGAACAGG
rnacentral:rRNA from 1 species